ensembl:misc_RNA Metazoa_SRP Metazoan signal recognition particle RNA
GCUGGGUGUGGUGGCGCAUGCCUGUAAUCCCAACUACUCGGGAGGCUGAGGCAGGAGAAUCGCUUGAACCUGGGAGGUGGAGGUUGCAGUGAGCCGAGAUUGCGCCACUGUACUCCAGCCUGGGUGACAGAGCGAGACUCUGUCUCAA